CAGUCGCCGCGGUAAUACGUAGGUGGCAAGCGUUGUCCGGAAUUAUUGGGCGUAAAGCGCGCGCAGGCGGUUUCUUAAGUCUGAUGUGAAAGCCCCCGGCUUAACCGGGGAGGGUCAUUGGAAACUGGGAGACUUAGAGUGCAGAAGAGGAGAGUGGAAUUCCAUGUGUAGCGGUGAAAUGCGUAGAUAUAUGGAGGAACACCAGUGGCGAAGGCGACUCUCUGGUCUGUAACUGACGCUGAGGCGCGAAAGCGUGGGGAGCAAACAGGAUUAGAUACCCCGUGUAGUCCCUGUCUCUUAU
rnacentral:rRNA from 1 species